rnacentral:lncRNA from 1 species
AUUUCUUCCCCCUCUCUCACUCUCCCGCCACCGUUCUCACUCUCCCCACCAUCGCUCACUCUCCCCACCACCGUUCUCACUCUCACUUUCAAUUUCUUCCCCCUCUAUCUCGCUCUGCAAUCUGCGUGGCCACCCAACUGAAGCAGGGAAGCCCUAAUGCCGUCGCCGACUCUUUCCGAUCAAGUCACGCAAGUCGAUUAUAAAAUGUACACAUCUGUUGAUAUGUAUAAUUUCUAUUAAUAUGUUUUGUUUGUGUGUCUGUAUAUGGCCGACUCUGUGACUGUGUUCAUCUAUUUUGGAGAAUUUUAUUGGAUAUUUACCUUCUUAAUGUGUAUUAUAUGUGAAUAGUUGUAAGAAUCUUAAUUUCUCACAAAUUAUAUGUUCUCACAAAUGGCUACCAACCUCCAUGGAUUUUGUCAUAUUCUAUUUGUUUUAUUAACUUUGUAAGAUCAAAAGGAUACAAAAAAUUAUUUUGUGCACAGGGCACUGUUCAGGCAAUCGAGAACAAGAAAAAAUUUAAUGUCAAGAUGUGGGAAUUAUGAAAAAUUGAUGAAAAAGUUAAAAGUCAUUACAGUCUUCUGCCUUCAUAUGCAUUGUAAAUGUUUUAGCCUGUCAAUAUCCAUUUUCUGCGAGAUUAGCUUAAGCUGGUGCAACAGAUUGACAUUCUCAGUUGUUCAGUGUUGAUUCUUCCUCAGUUACUUGAUGUGUGUGUCGAGCAAGUCUUCCUUAGUUACAUGUAUUGCUGAAAAAUGCACAAGGGUAUUUUUUUAUCCUACUAUAAUAUCUCAUCAUUGAUGAUAUUACUUGAGCGAUUCAUAUUAAUAAUUUCACAAAAUUGGUCCAUAAACUGAUGAUGCUUGUACUUAAAGAGCAUGAAAACUCCCAACCAAUAUGUUAUCAAUUUCAUUUUGUAUCCUCCAGUUCAAGCAAUCAAUCAGAACAUGAAAACUUAUAGCCAAUAUGUUAUCAAUAGGUUUAAUCUCAAAGAUCUUAUUGCAGGUAUAGAUUUUAUAUUUUCUUACUUGUGAUUUCAGAUCUUCAAUUUCCAGACUUUGUUUGAGAAAUCACAUUUUCUCAUCUGUUGAAUUCUCUGUACGUACAGGUGAAUUAAAUAUAUGGCAGCGGCUUCAGUUCAUCAGCUCGCUCAGUGCAUUACUUGCCAUGCUUGGAGUCCAGACCAUUCUAGUACGUCUUUAAUUCUGAAAAACCCCACUUUUGAAUUCACAAUUUAUGAAUUUGAUUUUAUUUUAUGAUGUACAAAUCAAUUAAUGAUAAUUUGUUUCUGUUCAAACCGUAGUGAUAGCAUUAUGCCCAAAUAACAGUGAAGUGCAUAUAUAUAGAUUAUUAGAAGACGACAAGUGGGAGAAGAUCCACGUUCUUCAGAAGGUAACUUGAAAUUGAGUUUUUUGAUAUCUUUGCUUGUAUAGUUGUACAGAAUUGUGAUUUCUCUUUAUGGGCUUCAAUUUUAACAGUUUUAUGGCAAUGUAUCAGUCAGCAAUCAAAACUUUAGAAAAUCAAUAAUCUUUCUAUUUUGAUUCAUAAGGAGCAGUUUUGAAAAUAUAUAGAGCUUGAUGAUGGUAUAUUUAGAUUUUUAGCAUGUAAGAUAUAUAUCAUGUCGCCUUGAUGACACUAGUGAGAAUGGGAAGAAGAGGGCUUAUCAGAGGAUAAAUACAUACAUAGUAUUUUGAUUAAAUGGGGCAAUAUUAAGAUGUGAUAAAGAAGAUGCUUUGCAAAUUAUUUUGUUUUAUCUUUUUUGUGUAUGUGCACUAUUUUUUGAAUUAGUAACAAUUCAUGAUGCUAGCCAUGAUAUGGAAUUUAUCAGAAAUAAUUUUGACUUUCGUUUUAUGUUCUAGUGUUUUCAUAGUAGAUGUUAUAUUGAACUUAGUAUUAUUUGUGCGAGUUGUCUUACCUGUCUUUUAGUGAGAAAGCUUUUUUAAUUAUUGUUUUCUUUCUUUCUUUUCUUUCUCUUGUGACAUCAUGACCAAAUUGUUUCUGGAGUAGAUUGCUUGAAGUAUGAUUGGUAAGAAUACUUGAAAUCCAUCAGAACUAUGAUGGAAAAAAGUCAGCUUUCUUAUAAACCUUUUUUUUUGAGUAGUUUUUCGAUCUCUGGAUCUGGGAAGCACUAAUAUGUUGGUAAUUGUCAUUGCAGCUGAAGAACCACUAAAGAAGACUUUCUAGGUUCAUACUCGAUCUGAGUUUUCUGAGGACAAGCUUUUCUGUGGUGAUCAUGAAGGUUGAAUUCACCCAUUGCAUUCAAAAGAUAGGUGUAGGCCAAGAAAAAAGUAACGGGAAGGAUUUUUUUAGAGCUAGCCAACCCAAUGGUUUGAAGACAAUAAGUUUUAAAUUAUCUUCUUUUAUACAAUAAUUUUCUGUUGUUUAAGAGGAGUGUAAGAUGAUGCUUAUUUGAUGUGCAAUAUGUAAAUCAUAAUUUUUCUUCAAUUUAUUACAAUGAUGUGUUUUG